rnacentral:misc_RNA from 1 species
GAGCUGUUCAGCUAAGGCUACAAGACCAGUCGCGAAACCAGGGGUAGUUCGAUUGAGCGGGAGAGGAAAAUCGAGUGGUUGACGCAGGCUAACAGAUCUAGCACCAGUUACAGUAACAACUGCUCCAUCUGCCAGAACAACCUUUUUCAACACACCAGCAUCCACAUCAUGUGGCAGUGAGACCCUCAUGCCAUCAGCAUCCUGAAUCCAGAGUUCCAU